rnacentral:lncRNA from 7 species
AUCUGUAGCCAGCAGACUUAAACUGUCAUCCUGCAAAAAGAUGCAAACAAGCCUAAUGGGAGAUUGCUUUAUCCUCUUUCUGGCAUUCAAUCAAAUGUUCCCUGAACAGACAUAGAAAACAAAGGAUCACUUUUUUUUUUUUUCCUAAAGAAAAACAUUAUUUUUGUGGCAGUUUAUAUAUUUUCAAAAUGACAGGAAAAAUAGGAAGAAUCAAAGAAAAUUCCAUAACCAAAGGGUCACUCGUCAGCUGUGGAUUGCAUGUAACUCUGUUGCUCCAGGGAGAAAGGGAUUGCUCCACUGCUUGCUCUGCAGAAUAGACUCACAGACUUUUGAAUCAUUUAUGCGUUUGCUAUCGCGGACAGGGUCCAAAGAAGAAGAGCACUGAAAAGUGAAAAAUGAGUCUUGGGAUCUGUGCCUGGUACUGAUGCAAAUGAAGGUGGAACUAUACAAACAGCAACACAAUUGGGCCAUUCAUCAUUCCUUCAUUAGCAGCUUUUCUUCACAACACCCCCAUCAAAGAAAGAAAACCUCCCUUCUUUUUAUUAAAGAUCAAGAGGAUUGAAAAGAAAGCGUAAUUGGCAGAGGAGACAUGCAGUGACAUGGAGACUGCAUGCUCAGCCUGGCCUCGUUGAAGGAGUGCCUUGUAUUGCACUGAGACACAGCACCUGCACUGCAAGAGCAGCACUGAUGCAACUCACAGUCUGCCAGCACGUCAGCUGAAAAAGAGCUCUGCAGAAGUGGGAUCAUGUGAAAUUAAUACUUCCAAACAAAAAUGCAACAAUACCAAUAUCCCAGUUCUGAAGAUAAGUUCAUUCAACACCAAAUCAAAGCCUGGAAGUAGCAGCAAGCUAACUAGCUGUGUACAGAAGCCCUGCAAAAACGCAUCCAUCCAUCUUGUUGACAGAAGGGGCUCACACACACAAACUGCUUCCGCAUGAGAAUGGGAAGACAGCACAUGUUGCUCUGUACAACAGCAUACAGGGACCAGAAAUUGAUGGCAUGCAGCUGUGGGGGCAAAAUCUCUUCUCAGCCUGCCCAUGGAGACUUGAAAGGCUGACAGAGGAAAACUUCAUUUAAGCAGUGAUAUCAAAGACAUGUGGGCAAAUAAAACCAAUUAUUAUGUAUGAAAAACUAGUCUAGAAAAAGAAACGUAGCUUCAACUCUUUCAUAAUAGUUCAUAUAUGCAGCAAUUACUGCCCCAACCAAUAGCAAAGUAGAAAUUAACACAGUGGCCAAUGGAUGUUUGCAGGAAAUAAGCUGUUAAAUUAUGCAAUUGCUUUGAGAGGAAGUAUAAGAGACAUGAAAUGCACAAAAUAAAUCUGUGGAAUU